rnacentral:rRNA from 1 species
UACAGAGGUCCCAAGCGUUGUUCGGAUUCACUGGGCGUAAAGGGUGCGUAGGUGGUGGUGUAAGUUUGGUGUGAAAUCUCCGAGCUCAACUCGGAAACUGCACUAAAUACUACAUUGCUGGAGGGUCGGAAGGGAGACUGGAAUUCUCGGUGUAGCAGUGAAAUGCGUAGAUAUCGAGAGGAACACCAGUGGCGAAAGCGAGUCUCUGGACGACUCCUGACACUGAGGCACGAAAGCUAGGGGAGCAAACAGG